AUUUGGUCUUUAAGCUGCAGUUGGAACAGAUUUUUUUCAUCAUAUACCUGAAACAGACACUAUACUCUGACAGAACAUAAAACAGCCGGUUUAAAAAAAAACAAAAAUUCUACCUCCACCUAGAUAUUUGUUAUUUGUUUUGCA